rnacentral:misc_RNA from 1 species
AGCAGCCGCGGUAAUUCCAGCUCCAAUAGCGUAUACUAAAGUUGUUGCAGUUAAAAAGCUCGUAGUUGAAUUUCGGGAUCAAUAUGUUGGUCGUGCCUCGGUACGUACUAGCAUAUUGGUUUAUCCUUUCUGAAGAACCAUGAUGUCAUUUAUUUGGUGUCGUGGGGAAUCAGGACUGUUACUUUGAAAAAUUAGAGUGUUUAAAGCAGGCUCACGCUUGAAUACAUUAGCAUGGAAUAAUGAAAUAGGACGUUUGAUUCUAUUUUGUUGGUUUCUAGGAUCGACGUAAUGAUUAAUAGGGAUAGUUGGGGGCAUUAGUAUUCAAUUGUCAGAGGUGAAAUUCUUGGAUUUAUUGAAGACUAACUACUGCGAAAGCAUUUGCCAAGGAUGUUUUCAUUAAUCAAGAACGAAAGUUAGGGGGAUCGAAGACGAUCAGAUACCGUCGUAGUCUUAACCAUAAACUAUGCCGACUAGGGAUCGGAUGAUGUUAAUUUUUAAUGACUCAUUCGGCGCCUUAAC